GAGUAAGGUUACUCGGACAUGGCCCAGUGAGGGUGAAAGGCCCGUGGGGGUGGAGAUUCAGAUUGGACAGCAUCUCCCUGAGCAGACCUUGGAGUCGGGUUGUUUGUGAAUGCAGCCCAAAGCGGGUGGUAAACUCCAUCCAAGGCUAAAUACUUGCACGAGUCCGAUAGCGAACAAGUACCGUGAGGGAAAGUUGAAAAGUACUUUGAAGAGAGAGUAAACAGUGCGUGAAGCCGUUCAGAGGUAAACGGGUGGAGUUGAACUGCAAGCUCUGAGGAUUCAGCUGGUGAGAUUGGCAUGAUCUUGGUCAUGUGGGUUGUGUUCUCGGGUCUGCUUAGCUGCAGGUCCCCGCUUCGGCGGGGGUGCGCGAAUCAUUAUCAAAUGUUGCGCGCCCGGUUGGUGACGAACCCGCUCGCCAGUGCACUAUCUCAGAGUGUUCACCACGACCGGCGUUGCCGUCUGGCUGUUGCGGUAAAACCGGCCCGGUAGGGUCCUUGCGGCUCUGCUAGGUCGGGAUGGCAGGUAGCCUGUUGUGCAAUUUAUUGUGCUUCGGGUGUAAUAGCCGACUGCUUCGGUUCUGUGCGGUACGUCGGAGACGGCGGCUUGUUGUGCUUGCAGGCGUGCCUGCUGUACUGGCGGCUCUGAGUCUGGUUGCCUUGUUGCUUGUGAAUGCAGGCCAGGUGAUGGCUCGGUGUCGUUUGGUCGGCGGUUGCGUAUGUUGCACCUUGACAGGGCCCAUAGUCUGUGGUGUAGUGGUAGACUAUCCACCUGACCCGUCUUGAAACACGGACCAAGGAGAGUAACAUGUGCGCGAGUCAUUGGGCGUUACGAAACCCAAAGGCGCAGUGAAAGUAAAGGCUCGGCUUGUCUGGGCUGAGGUGAGAUCCUGUCGUUUCUCAUGCGCGGUACUACCAAGCUUCGAGCGGCAGGCGCAUCACCGGCCCGUCCCAUGGCGUAGAGGCGGCCUCGUGCUUGCUCAUCGUCGGGGCGGAGCAUGAGCGUACAUGUUGAGACCCGAAAGAUGGUGAACUAUGCUUGCGCAGGUUGAAGCCAGAGGAAACU
rnacentral:rRNA from 1 species